rnacentral:rRNA from 1 species
AACGAACGCUGGCGGCAGGCCUAACACAUGCAAGUCGAGCGAGGACUUCGGUCCUAGCGGCGGACGGGUGAGUAACGCGUGGGAACGUGCCCUUUGCUUCGGAAUAGCCCUUGGAAACUGGGAGUAAUACCGGAUGAGCCCUUUGGGGGAAAGAUUUAUCGGCGAAGGAUCGGCCCGCGUUGGAUUAGGUAGUUGGUGGGGUAAUGGCCUACCAAGCCGACGAUCCAUAGCUGGUUUGAGAGGAUGAUCAGCCACACUGGGACUGAGACACGGCCCAGACUCCUACGGGAGGCAGCAGUGGGGAAUCUUAGAAAAUGGGGGAAACCCUGAUCUAGCCAUGCCGCGUGAGCGAUGAAGGCCUUAGGGUUGUAAAGCUCUUUCAGCUGGGAAGAUAAUGACGGUACCAGCAGAAGAAGCCCCGGCUAACUCCGUG